GCCGCCACGCGCCAGAGAUGACCGUGCCUGACCACCCGAUUCCGCGCCUCUCGCCGGGGACCGCCGCUGACGAGGGCCACGCCGGCGAUCUCCCCUCAGCCCGCCUGCCUCCUCUUUCCUCUCUGUUCUCCUCCUCUCUCCGCCCCCUGUUCAACAGCGACCGCCCAAACUCGCCCUGAUCCAUGGCCAUCUCCUUCCGCCCAGCUCCGGUCUGUCAUCGGUCAUCCGUGGCACGAGCGUUGCGCCUCCUCCUCAACCUCCUCAUCCCGCUCCACUCCUCCUGGACUGCCCACGUGCGCCUCCCGAGCCCCCAUGGACGCCUUCUGUGGAUCUGCGAUAUCGAUGGUUGACCGCCGCCAUGAUCGUCCUCGUGCGCAGCUCCUUGUUGCCAUCCCCUACGCCUCCUCCCGCGUCUCCCCCCAUCUCGCCUAUGCAGCACCGUGGCUGCACGCCGCCAGCGCCGUCUGCUGCAGACCCACUCUCAACCCCCUGCGGUUCUUAUUGGUCUCUUAUUUGGAUGAGCUUUCUGAACACAAUCUGAAGCUUCCAAGAAGCAAAUUCCAUACUCUACUACUGACAUGCUUUCCGGUGUUCUGGUGAGAGAAAAUUUAGAAGCCAAGUUGUGCUAUAGGACAAGGUAAACCUGCUUAUCUCAUUUAACUAGUGUUCUUGGAAACUAUCCUAAUAUCCUCCUGAUGCUUACUCUUAUGUUUACACGUACCACUCUAUGGCAACGUGAAGAUAUACUAUGCCAAGGAGCUAAAAAGGCGCUUGUUUUAUGAGUGCUAUUCCCAUAGCCCUGACAAUGAAUUCUAGAAGCUAUGUAUUUUAGGCAAGAUCCGUCAACGGCGAGGUACCUGAGUCUGAUGCAAUUCAGGAGAAGCUGAUGCCUGACAAGUACACCACAGCAAAUGUCCAAGUGAUUCUCCUAACCACGGCGGGGUACCCAGGUCCAAUGUGAUUAAGAGGUAGACACGGCAGUAGCAGAGUUGAUCAGCUCCAAGCAGCUUUGCAAUCAUAUACAUAUAUUCUCACCACAAUUAACUACACGUAGGCUCUGUCUCCCUCCUCUCCUGAGAAUUUGACAAAUGUUGUUAUCAAGGCAUUUUGUUCUUCUAAUCGAUUCUAGAAUAGAUAAACAUGUACUAUGUGUUUCAUAUAUGAACUGUUAAGAACCCUAAACCCUAAACCUGACCACCAUUUUCUUUUGGCAUAUCCUAGGUUUAUGAAAUACUAAAUAAUGUUGUUGAUGAAGCUCAAGCAGGCUAUGCUACUAAGAUUAAUGCAGUCCUUCAUGAUGACAAUUCCGUUAGUGUAACUGACAACUGCCGUGGGGUAUGCAGUUCCUAAAACCUAUGAAAGACUUGCUGAAUGUUCAAUGGUUCUAUAAGUAUUGUGGAAAGAGUAACUGUUAUGUGUUUAGUUUUGUGCUAUUGCACGGUGUUGAACACCCUGAACAUGGCGAUUUCGGGGCCUAUAGGAUGGUAGAUGUCUGGGCCCAUGGCUGUGAGCUCGGCCAUAUAGGCCCUUGAAAACUGACGGCGACACCUCUCUUCGGGCAGAAUGUUAUGCACGAGCACAAUGCCGCGACAAUUUUCAGAGUCAUAGACCCGCUGGGAUUAGUGUGUGCGUUUUUUGUUUUUAUGACGUCUGAACUUUAGCGGACAAUGUUCACUCACACAUGGCACAUGUGCUAAACCAGCCGGCUGUUCGUUGGAAAGUUAUACGAAAUCCGAAGGAAUCCAGCCUUCAAGUGUAUCACCCAUUAUAUCUCUACUCUGUUCUUCUUUGGUCUGCUUUUCAGGAAGAAGGUGGAUUGGUGACCAUUUCCUAUAUGCAGAGGGGAUGGCAACGACUGUUCCUUGGUUGAAGGAUGCAAUGCAUCUCGCUGCAUUUCAAGGUGUACGAUUUUGGGUCUGCCUAGAUACCUAUGCAGGGGAGAAGAAAUCUGCAAGUUGGGUAGAAAGCUAGGCAUGAUUCUCAGUAAUACUCUUUACUUGGUACUUGAUGAUUACUCUUUACUUGGUACAAGGUACUUGAUGAUUCUAAUAUAGUCUGACCCUGCCGCAGAUAGUAGUUUACAUACAUGCCUAAAUGUGUUGGAGAUGCAUUGAACUGUGUUUCAUAGGUGGUCGUGACCAUGAAGGGUGACUAAAAGUAAUCCAUCAUCGCAUCAAGUUUAUGGAAUUCAUUGGAUCAAAAAUAGAUCAAGAUGCAUCUGGUUAAAUUUCAGGGAUCGAAAUCGAUACAGAUAAAAAAUGGCUCAAUGAAAGUUGUAGUAUCUGCAUACACUUUGUUGGUAUAUAAAUCCUGGCUCCCCUAAUACUUUAUUCCCAUGUAAAAUAGCUAAUUCCUACAUUACUUUGGAGUGCACACGUCAGUUAAGAAAGGAGACUGCAAGUUAUAUAUAGUGAUCUGUAUUGCUUACAUCUAAUAUACAAUCUAUACAUGAUGGUUUCGAAUUA